rnacentral:rRNA from 1 species
AUUGAACGCUGGCGGCAGGCCUAACACAUGCAAGUCGAGCGGAUGAAGGGAACUUGCUCCUGGAUUCAGCGGCGGACGGGUGAGUAAUGCCUAGGAAUCUGCCUGGUAGUGGGGGAUAACGUCCGGAAACGGGCGCUAAUACCGCAUACGUCCUGAGGGAGAAAGUGGGGGAUCUUCGGACCUCACGCUAUCAGAUGAGCCUAGGUCGGAUUAGCUAGUUGGUGGGGUAAAGGCCUACCAAGGCGACGAUCCGUAACUGGUCUGAGAGGAUGAUCAGUCACACUGGAACUGAGACACGGUCCAGACUCCUACGGGAGGCAGCAGUGGGGAAUAUUGGACAAAGGGCGAAAGCCUGAUCCAGCCAUGCCGCGUGUGUGAAGAAGGUCUUCGGAUUGUAAAGCACUUUAAGUUGGGAGGAAGGGCAGUAAGUUAAUACCUUGCUGUUUUGACGUUACUAACAGAAUAAGCACCGGCUAACUUCGUG